AAAUCAAAAACAACAUCAUUCACAUAAAAAAUUACACAGAGAAUAUAUCAAAUAAAACAUUUUAUUCAUUGCAACACAAAAAAUGUGAUCUACCUCCUGGAAUGCCCAUGUGGCCUUCAAUACGUGGGCAUGACCACCAGAGAUUUAAAAACAAGACUAGCCGAACAUUGCAGAAAUAUUUUAAAAGGCUAUGAAAACCAUUCUGUCUCGAAACACUUUUUACAACAUGGAAAGAACCCAAAAUUGCUUAAAUGUAUUGGUAUUGACACAUGUAAUAUCCCAUGGAGAGGGGGUGACAUUAAAAAAGUUUUAGG